rnacentral:rRNA from 1 species
CUACGGGGCGCUGCAGUGAGGAAUCUUGGACAAUGGGCGAAAGCCUGAUCCAGCGACGCCGCGUGGGUGACGAAGGCCUUCGGGUUGUAAAGCCCUGUCAGAGGGGAAGAAGUUCUGACGGUACCCUCAGAGGAAGCACAGGCUAACUCCGUGCCAGCAGCCGCGGUAAUACGGAGUGUGCAAGCGUUGCUCGGAAUCACUGGGCGUACAGGGCGCGUAGGCGGCUUGGUAAGUUGGAUGUGAAAGCCCUCGGCUCAACCGAGGAACUGCAUCCAAAACUGCCUGGCUAGAGUACGGAAGAGGAAGGCGGAAUUCCCAGUGUAGGGGUGAAAUCCGUAGAUAUUGGGAAGAACACCAGUGGCGAAGGCGGCCUUCUGGGACGAUACUGACGCUGAGGCGCGAAAGCGUGGGGAGCAAACAGGAUUAGAUACCCUUGUAGUC